rnacentral:rRNA from 1 species
GCUGAACCAGCAACUUGGAGGAAGGUAUAGCAUUUGCUAAUUAUAUUUAGUUAAAUAUAAUUUCGACUAUGUCGUAUAAAAUUCUAGGUAGAUUAUGAUGAUGACAUUUUCUAUCUAUGUGUCUUGACCAAAUCUCGUGCCAGCAGUCGCGGUAAGACGAGAAAGACUAGUGUUAUUCAUCUUUAAUAGGUUUAAAGGGUACCUAGACGGUAUUUCUAGCCAAAAAGGUACAGAUUUACUAGAGUUUAAUAUGUAGGAGGGUAGUAUUCUGGUGUAGAGAUGAAAUAUUUUGAUACCUUAAGGACUGGUAAAUGCGAAAGCAACCUUAUAUCCAUGUAUAAACUGACGUUGAGGGACGAAGGCUUGGAAAGUAAAAAGGAUUAGAUACCCAAGUAGCCCUUGCAGAAAAUGAUGAAUGUCAUAGAUUAGAUCUAUUUAGUCUAUAAAUGAAAGUGUAAGCAUUCCACCUCAAGAGUAAUGCGGCAACGCAGAAACUGAAAUCAUUAGACCGUUUCUGAAACCAGUAGUGAAGUAUGUUAUUUAAUUCGAUGACCCGCGAAAAACCUUACCACAAUUUGAAUAAUAUUUACAAGUGUUGCACGGCUGUCUUCAGUUAAUGUCGUGAGAUUUUGGUUAGUUCCAUAAAAUUAACGUAAACCCUUGCUUUUUUUAUUCUUUAUAAUAAAGUAGUACUCCGUUAUAUUGGUUAUAUUAAAAGGGAUUAAGACAAGUCAUCAU